AAUUCAGUGAAUUGUUAGUAAAUUUACCAAGUUGUGUAACCCUCACCAUAAAUCCAUUUUAGAACAUUUCCAUGACUCCAAUAAAAGACUGCAGUCCCAUUUACUGUUAAUCCCCAUUCUCCCCCUUCUCCAGGCAACCUUUAAUCUAGUUUCUUUUUUGCAGAGAUGGGGUCUCACUAUGUUGCCCAGGCUGGUCUUGAACUCCUGGCCUCAAGCAAUCCUCCCACCUCACCCUCCCAAAGUCCUGAGAUUAGAGGUGUGAGCUGCAGUGCCCAGCUCCAUAAUCUAUUUUCUGUCUCUAAAUUUGUCUUUUCUGGACAUUUCAUAAAAUGGAAUCAUAACAGGCCAGGCACGGUGGGCAUUGUCAUCCUCACUUUAAAGACGAGGACACCAAGGAACAUAGAGAUUAAGUAACUCACCCAAGGGCACACAGCUGCAAUAUUUCAUCAGGCCUAGGAAGCACAUUUUUCCCA
rnacentral:lncRNA from 1 species